GUACUAGAAGGCCACAAUUCAGUCACCCUGAAGCCUUCUCCUUUCCAAGCUGAGCAAUCUGAAUUCUCCCAGCCUUUCAUCAUAGGAGAGGUGCUCCAUCCCUCUGAUCAUCUUGGUGGCCCUCCUCUGGACUCACUCCAACAGGCCCAUGUCCUUUCUGUGCUGAGGACCCAGAGGUGGAUGCAGCAUUCCAUCUUCUUUCAUCUGGAA